GCAGCAGCCGCGGGAAUACGUAGGUGGCAAGCGUUGUCCGGAAUUAUUGGGCGUAAAGCGCGCGCAGGUGGUUUAAUAAGUCUGAUGUGAAAGCCCACGGCUCAACCGUGGAGGGUCAUUGGAAACUGUUAAACUUGAGUGCAGGAGAGAAAAGUGGAAUUCCUAGUGUAGCGGUGAAAUGCGUAGAGAUUAGGAGGAACACCAGUGGCGAAGGCGGCUUUUUGGCCUGUAACUGACACUGAGGCGCGAAAGCGUGGGGAGCAAACAGGAUUAGAUACCCGUGUAGUCCCUGUCUCUUAUAA
rnacentral:rRNA from 1 species